rnacentral:rRNA from 1 species
UACGGAAGGCAGCAGUGGGGAAUAUUGCACAAUGGGCGCAAGCCUGAUGCAGCCAUGCCGCGUGUAUGAAAAAGGCCUUCGGGUUGUAAAGUACUUUCAGUCGUGAGGAAGGUGUUAAGGUUAAUAACCUUAGCAAUUGACGUUAGCGACAGAAGAAGCACCGGCUAACUCCGUGCCAGCAGCCGCGGUAAUACGGAGGGUGCGAGCGUUAAUCGGAAUUACUGGGCGUAAAGGGCACGCAGGCGGUUAAUUAAGUUGGAUGUGAAAUCCCCGGGCUUAACCUGGGAAUGGCAUUCAAGACUGGUUAGCUAGGGUCUUGUAGAGGGGGUAGAAUUCCAUGUGUAGCGGUGAAAUGCGUAGAGAUGUGGAGGAAUACCGGUGGCGAAGGCGGCCCCUGGACAAAGGCUGACGCUCAUGUGCGAAAGCGUGGGGAGCGAAACAGGGAUUAGAUACCCG